AACGUAGGUUCCGAGCGUUAUCCGGAUUUACUGGGCGUAAAGCGCGUUCAGGCGGUUUGGCAGUCGGGCAUGAAAUCUCUCGGCUAACCGGGAGAGGUUGUCCGGAUACUGCGUGGACUUGAGGGCAGUAGAGGGGUGGUGGAAGUUCCGGGUGUGAGUGGUGAAAUGCGUAGAUAUCUGGAGGAACACCGGUGCGAAGG
rnacentral:rRNA from 1 species